rnacentral:lncRNA from 1 species
AGUUACUAAGCGGGACAAAGGCAGAAGGGGAAAAGAAAAGAGGAGGAAAAAAAAGAAAGAAAGAAAGGAAGAAAACGCAAACGGCGGUUACUGACAGGCUGGGCGAGCGCUCGGGGGCUCAAACUGCCUGGAGACAGGCGGGGCUCCUGCUGAGGCUUGGUCCGCCCGGACGAGUAAGGAGAGGAGCCAGGGAGGACCUGCUGGCGUGAGACGCCUCUGCCCGGUAGAAGAUACUGGAAGAUCAACUCUAAUUUGUGGCUGCCUUCCCAGCAGUCUCUACUUCAGCAUAUCUGGGAGCCAGAAGCACUCAAGUUUGAUAACUCAAAAGACAGAACAAUCAGUCAAGGAGAUGGAUGAAAUAUUUCUUCUGUGCUCUGAAUAUAGGGUAUGAUCUCAGAGCUCUCUGUGCCAGCAGAAUCAGUCUGGAACUCAGCCAGAAGUUCUUCGUGAUUAAAGGUGCCAUCUGAGCGCACAAUAUUUUUUUAAAAGCCUUGCAAAAUGGGG